CUGGCGGCGUGCCUAACACAUGCAAGUCGAGCGGAGAAGUGCGGAUAUGUUACAUGGAAGUAUCUCGCGGCGGACGGGUGAGUAACACGUGGGUAACCUGCCUCAAAGAGGGGGAUAGCCUUCCGAAAGGAAGAUUAAUACCGCAUAAGCCUGCAGUACCGCAUGGUACAGCAGGAAAAGGAGCAAUCCGCUUUGAGAUGGACCUGCGGCGCAUUAGCUAGUUGGUGAGGUAACGGCUCACCAAGGCGACGAUGCGUAGCCGACCUGAGAGGGUGAUCGGCCACAUUGGAACUGAGACACGGUCCAGACUCCUACGGGAGGCAGCAGUGGGAAUAUUGCACAAUGGGCGAAAGCCUGAUGCCAGCAACGCCGCGUGAAUGAUGAAGGCCUUCGGGUCGUAAAGUUCUUUGAUCAGGGAUGAUAAUGACAGUACCUGAAAAACAAGCCACGGCUAACUACGUGCCAGCAGCCGC
rnacentral:rRNA from 1 species